CUGGCUCAGGACGAACGCUGGCGGCGUGCCUAAUACAUGCAAGUCGAGCGAACAGAGAAGGAGCUUGCUCCUUCGACGUUAGCGGCGGACGGGUGAGUAACACGUGGGCAACCUACCUUAUAGUUUGGGAUAACUCCGGGAAACCGGGGCUAAUACCGAAUAAUCUGUUUCACCUCAUGGUGAAACACUGAAAGACGGUUUCGGCUGUCGCUAUAGGAUGGGCCCGCGGCGCAUUA
rnacentral:rRNA from 1 species